GACGUAGGUGGCGAACGUUAUCCGGAAUUAUUGGGCGUAAAGGAUGCGUAGAUGGUGUAGUAAGUUAUCGGUGGUAAAUCGAGGCUCAACCUCGUGGAAGUCGGUAAUACUGCUAUGCUAGAGGAUAGGAGAGGUUAACGGAACUCCCUGUGGAGCGGUGAAAUGCGUAGAUAUAGGGAAGAACACCAAUCAGGCGAAGGCAGUUAACUAUUCUAUUCCUGACAUUGAGUCAUGAAAGCGUGGGGAGCAAAACGG
rnacentral:rRNA from 1 species